AUUGAACGCUGGCGGAAUGCUUUACACAUGCAAGUCGAACGGCAGCACGGGGGCAACCCUGGUGGCGAGUGGCGAACGGGUGAGUAAUACAUCGGAACGUGCCCAGUCGUGGGGGAUAACGUAGCGAAAGCUACGCUAAUACCGCAUACGAUCUCUGGAUGAAAGCGGGGGACCGCAAGGCCUCGCGCGAUUGGAGCGGCCGAUGGCAGAUUAGGUAGUUGGUGGGGUAAAGGCUCACCAAGCCGACGAUCUGUAGCUGGUCUGAGAGGACGACCAGCCACACUGGGACUGAGACACGGCCCAGACUCCUACGGGAGGCAGCAGUGGGGAAUUUUGGACAAUGGGCGAAAGCCUGAUCCAGCCAUUCCGCGUGCAGGAUGAAGGCCCUCGGGUUGUAAACUGCUUUUGUACGGAACGAAACGGUACCUGGUUAAUACCUGGGCGUAAUGACGGUACCGUAAGAAUAAGCACCGGCUAACUACGUGCCAGCAGCCGCGGU
rnacentral:rRNA from 1 species